GGGUUGUGAGGUUAAGCGACUAAGCGUACACGGUGGAUGCCCUGGCAGUCAGAGGCGAUGAAGGACGUGCUAAUCUGCGAUAAGCGUCGGUGAGGUGAUAUGAACCGUUAUAACCGGCGAUUUCCGAAUGGGGAAACCCAGUGUGAUUCGUCACACUAUCAUUAACUGAAUCCAUAGGUUAAUGAGGCGAACCGGGGGAACUGAAACAUCUAAGUACCCCGAGGAAAAGAAAUCAACCGAGAUUCCCCCAGUAGCGGCGAGCGAACGGGGAGGAGCCCAGAGCCUGAAUCAGUGUGUGUGUUAGUGGAAGCGUCUGGAAAGGCGUGCGAUACAGGGUGACAGCCCCGUACACAAAAAUGCACAUAUUGUGAGCUCGAUGAGUAGGGCGGGACACGUGGUAUCCUGUCUGAAUAUGGGGGGACCAUCCUCCAAGGCUAAAUACUCCUGACUGACCGAUAGUGAACCAGUACCGUGAGGGAAAGGCGAAAAGAACCCCGGCGAGGGGAGUGAAAAAGAACCUGAAACCGUGUACGUACAAGCAGUGGGAGCCUCUUAAUGGGGUGACUGCGUACCUUUUGUAUAAUGGGUCAGCGACUUAUAUUCUGUAGCAAGGUUAACCGAAUAGGGGAGCCGAAGGGAAACCGAGUCUUAACUGGGCGUUAAGUUGCAGGGUAUAGACCCGAAACCCGGUGAUCUAGCCAUGGGCAGGUUGAAGGUUGGGUAACACUAACUGGAGGACCGAACCGACUAAUGUUGAAAAAUUAGCGGAUGACUUGUGGCUGGGGGUGAAAGGCCAAUCAAACCGGGAGAUAGCUGGUUCUCCCCGAAAGCUAUUUAGGUAGCGCCUCGUGAAUUCAUCUCCGGGGGUAGAGCACUGUUUCGGCAAGGGGGUCAUCCCGACUUACCAACCCGAUGCAAACUGCGAAUACCGGAGAAUGUUAUCACGGGAGACACACGGCGGGUGCUAACGUCCGUCGUGAAGAGGGAAACAACCCAGACCGCCAGCUAAGGUCCCAAAGUCAUGGUUAAGUGGGAAACGAUGUGGGAAGGCCCAGACAGCCAGGAUGUUGGCUUAGAAGCAGCCAUCAUUUAAAGAAAGCGUAAUAGCUCACUGGUCGAGUCGGCCUGCGCGGAAGAUGUAACGGGGCUAAACCAUGCACCGAAGCUGCGGCAGCGACACUAUGUGUUGUUGGGUAGGGGAGCGUUCUGUAAGCCUGUGAAGGUGGCCUGUGAGGGUUGCUGGAGGUAUCAGAAGUGCGAAUGCUGACAUAAGUAACGAUAAAGCGGGUGAAAAACCCGCUCGCCGGAAGACCAAGGGUUCCUGUCCAACGUUAAUCGGGGCAGGGUGAGUCGACCCCUAAGGCGAGGCCGAAAGGCGUAGUCGAUGGGAAACAGGUUAAUAUUCCUGUACUUGGUGUUACUGCGAAGGGGGGACGGAGAAGGCUAUGUUGGCCGGGCGACGGUUGUCCCGGUUUAAGCGUGUAGGCUGGUUUUCCAGGCAAAUCCGGAAAAUCAAGGCUGAGGCGUGAUGACGAGGCACUACGGUGCUGAAGCGACAAAUGCCCUGCUUCCAGGAAAAGCCUCUAAGCAUCAGGUAACAUCAAAUCGUACCCCAAACCGACACAGGUGGUCAGGUAGAGAAUACCAAGGCGCUUGAGAGAACUCGGGUGAAGGAACUAGGCAAAAUGGUGCCGUAACUUCGGGAGAAGGCACGCUGAUAUGUAGGUGAAGCGACUUGCUCGUGGAGCUGAAAUCAGUCGAAGAUACCAGCUGGCUGCAACUGUUUAUUAAAAACACAGCACUGUGCAAACACGAAAGUGGACGUAUACGGUGUGACGCCUGCCCGGUGCCGGAAGGUUAAUUGAUGGGGUUAGCGGUAACGCGAAGCUCUUGAUCGAAGCCCCGGUAAACGGCGGCCGUAACUAUAACGGUCCUAAGGUAGCGAAAUUCCUUGUCGGGUAAGUUCCGACCUGCACGAAUGGCGUAAUGAUGGCCAGGCUGUCUCCACCCGAGACUCAGUGAAAUUGAACUCGCUGUGAAGAUGCAGUGUACCCGCGGCAAGACGGAAAGACCCCGUGAACCUUUACUAUAGCUUGACACUGAACAUUGAGCCUUGAUGUGUAGGAUAGGUGGGAGGCUUUGAAGUGUGGACGCCAGUCUGCAUGGAGCCGACCUUGAAAUACCACCCUUUAAUGUUUGAUGUUCUAACGUGGGCCCCUUACCGGGGUUGCGGACAGUGUCUGGUGGGUAGUUUGACUGGGGCGGUCUCCUCCUAAAGAGUAACGGAGGAGCACGAAGGUUGGCUAAUCCUGGUCGGACAUCAGGAGGUUAGUGCAAUGGCAUAAGCCAGCUUGACUGCGAGCGUGACGGCGCGAGCAGGUGCGAAAGCAGGUCAUAGUGAUCCGGUGGUUCUGAAUGGAAGGGCCAUCGCUCAACGGAUAAAAGGUACUCCGGGGAUAACAGGCUGAUACCGCCCAAGAGUUCAUAUCGACGGCGGUGUUUGGCACCUCGAUGUCGGCUCAUCACAUCCUGGGGCUGAAGUAGGUCCCAAGGGUAUGGCUGUUCGCCAUUUAAAGUGGUACGCGAGCUGGGUUUAGAACGUCGUGAGACAGUUCGGUCCCUAUCUGCCGUGGGCGCUGGAGAACUGAGGGGGGCUGCUCCUAGUACGAGAGGACCGGAGUGGACGCAUCACUGGUGUUCGGGUUGUCAUGCCAAUGGCACUGCCCGGUAGCUAAAUGCGGAAGAGAUAAGUGCUGAAAGCAUCUAAGCACGAAACUUGCCCCGAGAUGAGUUCUCCCUGACUCCUUGAGAGUCCUGAAGGAACGUUGAAGACGACGACGUUGAUAGGCCGGGUGUGUAAGCGCAGCGAUGCGUUGAGCUAACCGGUACUAAUGAACCGUGAGGCUUAACCUUACAACGCCGAAG
rnacentral:rRNA from 1 species